AUGUACUGGGGGGCUUUGGGGAGAAGGAAAAAAAAGAAGAUUGGCAACAGAUGUUAGCUCAGGUGCCAAUAUAAUUUUAGUCAUCUAAAAGUAAGUUGCAUAUGUUAUGGCUCUUUAUCCCUAAAUAAUUCCACAUGCAUACCCCCAAAAUAAGGACAUUAUCAUAACCUAAUAAUAAUCUAAUAUCUUGUUUAUAUUCAAAUGUCUCCAGUUGUCCUCAAAAUAUCUUUUAUAAUUGCUUUUUUGAACCAGGAUGCAAGCAAGCUUAUUGCAUUGCAUUGGUUCUCACUGUCUUUAGAACACACCCUCACCUUGGACAUUGGCUUUUUGAAGAGACCAGACCAGUUUUCUGUAGAAUGUCCCCCAUUUUGGAUUGUCCACUUGUUUCCUUUUUUCCUCUAUGUUCUGUAAACCGGGAGCUAGGUCUAUAAGCAUAUUUAGAUUACAGUUAAGCAUAUUUAGCAAGAACGCCUCAAGGGUGAUACCAUGUGCUUCAUAUUCAUCAUAUCAAAAGGCACCGAAUGUCAAAUUCUCCUACUAUUACUGAUGCUAAGUUUCAUCUCUUGGUUAACCACCAGAUUCCUCCAUUGUAAAACUCUGUUGUCCUCUUCACACUUAAUAAGCAAUCUGGAGGCUGAUGCUUUGACACUGUGGGGAUAUCCUGCUUCCCAGCAAUCCUUCGACCUAAUGAUUUUGUCGUCUGUCUUAUUCUGCUGGCACUGCUGUAACAAAGUACCACAGACCGGGUGGCUUAAGCAACAUUUAUUGUCUGACAGUUCUGGAGACUAGAUGCCCCAAAUCAAGGUGUUGGUGGGGUUGGUUCCUUCUGAGGGCUGUGAGGGAAGGAUCUGUUCCAGGCCUCUCUCCUUGCCUUGUAGACGGCCAUCUCUCUGCGUCACUUCACAUCAUCUUCCCUCUAUGUGGGCCUGCAUCUAAAUUCCCUCUUCUUAUAAGGACGCCAGUCACACUGGGCUAGGGCUCAUCCUAAUGACCUCUUUUUAACUUGAUUCCAUCUGUAAAGACCCUGUCUCCAAAUAAGGUCACAUUCUGGGGCACUAGGGGUUAGGACUUCAACAAAGGCAUUUUGAGGGAGACAGUUCAAUCCAUAACAGCAUCCAUUGAUGAUUCUUGCCGGAAUCCAUUAUUUAUGAGGGUCUUAGGUUGGGUUCUCUGAAAAACAGAUUCUGAGUUGCAGAUUUCUAAGCUGGUUUAUCGGGGACUGUGUGUGUAACCCUGUGAGAGAGUAAGAGGGGUUGAACUGCAAUGGAGUUGCAAUAGAGGCCUCAGUCUAGGCUGCAGGCAGCCCUGGACAGGAUGGUCCUUCAGAGAUGUCACAAACUGAGGCAGAGGGCCAGGCCUUUGUACCCCUUUAUCAGCUAAGCAUUGGAUGCAGGCUGCCCCCAGGGAGGGCACAAAACCUUGGGCGGGGCAGUUUCCUUCCAUGGAGGGCAAUGCCUAGGGAGAGACUCAGCUGCGAGCUAUUAGGCCCAACAGUGGCGCCCGUUGGAGGAAUACGUGCCUGCGUCCUGAAGCGAGGGCUGGGGCAGGUGCCACAGUGUGCGGGACAACUGGGGCUGCAGAGGAUGGUGUCCCUUAACUCUACACUUACUAGCUGGCACGCUUCUGAAAAGAAGAGCUUUCCCACGAUAACUGGGAAUGAAUUAUAGUUCUUUCUAAAAGACAGGGUAAAUGCUGAAAUCUUUCCCGUUUACUCACCAAUUUUCUGAGUAAGGAGUUGACACCAUUCAACUGUACUCAGGAUCCCACUAUGACUUGUGUGGCCCCUUCCACCAUAAAAAACUAGAAAUUAUAUUUUACAACUGUGUUGGUAUAAAGACAGAUAUAACCCAGGCUGGAUUCAUUAUUAUAUAUUUAUUAUUGUAUUAAUUUGUUUUCCCUGUGAAGGAAAAGUAUUGUGGGCUUUUGGUGCUGUGUCUUCUGUGCCUAACGGAUGUUAGCCCGGUUAUGCUCUGAUUGGGGGCCAGGCAGGUAAUAAAUGAAGAGGGUUGAUUCCCAGUGUGUAUACGUGUAUGGGGUGAGAGGGGGUGACUGUCUACAGGGCAGGGGCAUUUAGCUCCAGUAGAAAGUUGCCAUGCAGAAAAAUGAGGUGACCUGGUGUUGCCAGAUCCUUCCAUUUGUCAGGAGAAGCCAGAAAUAGGGAUGUUUAAAUUUGAAAUCCUUUCUUUUUCAUUGUUGGCUUAGUUUUUCCAAAAUCUAGGCUGAUUGCUGCCUGAGGGCUGCCAAUUUAAGGAGUCUGCUAGUCGAGAGGCUCCCCUGGGAGGGAUGUUGACCGUUUCCACACUCAGUCUUUUCCAGAAAACCUGGUGCAUGGAAGGUACUCAUGCCUGUUUGCUGAGGAUCGAAUGAAUGAAUAAUUACAUUUUGCUAAGGCAACGUAUUAACAUUAAGUUGGAUUUUAUGCAUCAAAACCAGUGAAGAUCAGAAAACUAGGCCCUGGAUCGUGCUGCAAAGAAAAACAAAUCUGCAUUGGGUUAUUCACAGCAACUUGGCAGGAGUAAAAAUGUGUGAAGAAAACCCUUGAAACCAGAGUUCGGGAAGUAGGUCAGGCUGCCUCAGUGAUGCAGUCACUCAUCGGAGAAUCAAAGGGGAUUUCUUGGUAUCUUGAUAGAAUGCUGUAUUAAGUUUUUAACUUUUUUUUUCUGUUUAAGGCAGAAACAUUAUUGUGGUAAAAGCAAUCUUGCAAAGACUGUGUUUUGUCGGUUUUUUCCUUGGGGGGCACCAAGUAUACCUCUCUACCCAACUUCUUCCUCUCUGUCCUUGGCCUGUGGUUGUGGAUGGGGGGAGUUUGGUCAGAACCCGCUGCGUUCCUGCCAAGCCCCAGGGAGGACCUUUCUCUGGUCAGAAGAGAGGGUGGCAAGAAUGAGGAGAUCCUCGAGGAGAAACGGGCACAGAGGGAAACCAGGGCUCCCAGGAGGCUUUCCCUCGACUUUUCACUUCAAUUCCCAGCUCUCUUGGCUCAGACAUAAAAGCAACAGUGGCCCGUGGACUUCUCUUGACAGAACUUUUCCCAAAAAUGCCCCUCCAGGCCUCCAAGAGUCUAGGUCUCCCCGUCUUCAUGCUUCAAUGCUGACUCCUUCUUCAACGCCGGGUCCCGGCUUCAGCCACUGGCUGUCUCAACUCCACCACAGAAAUUGCUGAUAAGAGAACUGGGACUGAGAGUAAGAUGGUAACCGCCCCCCCUCAGCUAGGAAAGAGCAGACGGGCAAGUCUGCUACCUGUGCGCCCUCACUUCCCCGUGCAAGGCGCCUGCAUUCUCCAAGAGCUGUUCCAGCGGGCUCUGAGGCCCACUCCUCCGAGCCAAGCUUUGUGCCAUUUGAUGGCGAGGAAGAGGCUUUGAAGAAGAAAGUAAGAAGGCAGAGAGGGAGCAGGAAGCGACAGGGAAUAGUGGAAAGACUCCAUCUAAACUAGUUUAUGCUCUUGACCAGUUCUCUCUCAAGGACUUGCUUUGGUGUCAUACUGAACAAAUACUGAUAGAUAAUAAAACAAUAAAAGAAC